CAGUCGCCGCGGUAACACAGAGGGUGCGAGCGUUAAUCGGAUUUACUGGGCGUAAAGCGUGCGUAGGCGGCUUCUUAAGUCGGAUGUGAAAUCCCUGAGCUUAACUUAGGAAUUGCAUUUGAUACUGGGAAGCUAGAGUAUGGGAGAGGAUGGUAGAAUUCCAGGUGUAGCGGUGAAAUGCGUAGAGAUCUGGAGGAAUACCGAUGGCGAAGGCAGCCAUCUGGCCUAAUACUGACGCUGAGGUACGAAAGCAUGGGGAGCAAACAGGAUUAGAUACCCCGGUAGUCCCUGUCUCUUAUAC
rnacentral:rRNA from 1 species